rnacentral:piRNA from 1 species
AGUCACGUCAUGCUGGGAAGGGCCUUA